AGAAGGAGGAGAGCAGAGAAAAGCAGGUGAAUAUUUGUAUCCUUAAGAGGCAGGUAAUAUAGCUGGUAAAGUUCUUGUCUAAUUUCUGAUGUUGGCCCAGUGGAGUUCUCCAAGGGGAAAGCAGCAACAAAGGAUAAGGAGGGAUCCUUGAGGGGUGAAUUUAGUCCUAUUCCAGUGCUGGCUAGUGGCACAAGCUACCAGCAUGACUCCAGGGCAGAUACUGAAUUUCCUCCAACCAUUGUUCCCUGUUUGUUAAAGAAGAGAUCUUUUCAGGUAUAAUACUUAUUUCCAGCUACCUAAAGGCCAAGCAGGUAAUAUAAAUGAGUGAAGUCAGCUGCAAAUUAAGCAGAAGCAUGAGCUGCUGAGCUCACGCCCCUUCUGACAAGAGUCAGAUGUUUCUUCUUGAAAGUGCACCAAACAAACGAAGUGAAUCUGCAGCUACGUUAAACCCAGGAUGGACUAUCCCUAGUUAUCCUUCCAGUUCAUAGCCAUAACUUCUAAUUUUGGGUUCAUUUGUCACUGGGGAUCAACGUCUUUGUUGCCUGCUGGUAUUGGACCAGAAUCAGGAAGAGAUUAAGCAAACUCAAUAGAAGAGGUAUUAAACUUGUUUGUUUAUAAGAACAAUGGCCCCCCUAAGCAACAAGUAAGAAUUUGGUGAUUAGAUGCCAAGGUCAAGGAAGAAACACAAUUAACUAAAUCCUAUCAUUGAAUAGAAUCCAUGUACAUUCUGCAGCCAGAAGAAAGAGGAAACAAAUCUCGAGAAUAUCUGGUCCUGUUUCAGUUUUGCUUAGAAAUGGCAACCCUAGUCUUAAGGACAAAGUUGAUCAACUGAGCUUCCAGGCUUCCCUACAAUAAAGGAGAUCAAAGUAGAUAGGGAACACAGUCAUCAGGCCCAGAUGUUUUGAAUUAGUCAGGAGGACUUGGUUUUACCCGUGCUGUUAAGUAUGGCAAUCAUGAACUGAUUACCUUUACUGACAUUUUAAGAGCAGCUGGUCUGAACACAAAUGAAGAAUUGGAGUUUACACCUUUCAGAGCCAUUUCUAUGAAUACUUCCUUCCUAAUGAUGCGUUUCUUCACAAAGCUUCAGAGUUGUUAGAGCUCUUUAUAGAGCCAGCUCCAAAAGUGGCCCCAGAGAUAAAUGGGCAGCUACUAUUACAAAGCCCGGUAAACACUAGAGAUGUCAGAGUGAAGUGGCUUUAUUAAGACACUUGUUUCUGCUUAGGUUCUAAAUUGUUUAUAAGAGGAAGGAAAAGUAACAAUUUAAAGCCAGAAACUUUACUGCCUCAUUUUUGCAUGCUAGGGAAGUAGAAUCUCUCACAGGGAGACAGCUUCUUAUUCAGGAUUUUACCUUGCUGGGACACUAAAUGGGAAAUGUGACCUGCUCCUUCCUUCGCCAGGCUUUAUGUUUCCACAGGAGAAACAGAAAGGAAGCUGGAUCAGUGAUCUGAACAUAAGAGGAGUAAAAUGUGGGAAUGAGGGCCUGGGAAAAGACAACGAGGAAAGUCAGAGGAGAGGCUUUGGAGAAGAGACAGCAGAGACAGCAGCUGCUCAUGGCUGGUGGUGGGAGAGCCAUUGGCCACUCUUAUGCUUGUCCCUGCUUCUGUUCACCACAGCCGUAGGGCUACUAGGAGGAAUUCGGGACAAGUACAAAGAAGGCAAGCUUGCUUUCUACAUGUCACGCCCUACUGUCAUGGAGGUAUGGACAAAGUACAGUGGAAACAUCAAGAACCAACCAAUCAGCCCUGGCACGGGGAGUCUGGAGGUCACCAAGAAGGGGAUAGAUGGGAAGGUGCUUACCAACUGGAGCAGGAACAGCAGGCUGAGCAUUCUGUGAGGAUACAGCCUAUGCAAGCCACUCAGGUUUGAAAGGACCUGAGCAGUUUAGAGAAAAGUCAAAUUUUGAUGGCUUUUUUUGUUCAAGCUAAACUUUUUUCUUUACUGCUUAAAAAAAAUAAGCAACAAAAAAAUGAAUAUGAAGAGGACAGGGCAUAAACAGAUUUUUGUCAUAAUAAGGCUUGAGGUGUGCCUUCCAACCACUUAUCUAUUCAAUAAAUGUCCACCAAGCUCUUAGAUGCCAGGACUAUGCUAGGCAGGGAGAAUUUAGUGAUCAACCAACAGAAUGGAUCUUAUUGUCAGGGCACUUACAGCUUGGCUAGGAGAUUGAUGUGAAAAAAUCAUCACAAUAAGCAAAGUUUAACUAUAAGUGGUGGAAAAUUCUAUGUAGGAAAGUCAAGCAUUAGUGUGACAGAAUUUAAAGGGAGACCUCACUUUGACUAGGGUUGGGUCAGAGUCAGGUCAGUAGGGCUUCCAGGUGAAACUCGAUGGAUGAUUAAGUACUAACCAAGCUGAGAGGGUUGUCAGGGCUGUGGAGCUUAGGAACUAGAAGGUUACCAAUCAAUUAGUAAGCGAUUCUAAUGGGCCAUGCAGAUUGCUGAUAGCCCAGCUACAAAAAUUCAAGGCUUGGUCUGUGUUAGCCACCGAUGCUACCUCUAGCUCUGACAUUUGAUAGCAAGAAUCUGCUAUAGCUAGGACAUUGUACUAGGUGCUGACUAGAAAAGUAAUAAACAUAUGUAAGAUAUAGCUCCUCAACAGAGUGAUAGUCCAACAAAUUGGACAUUUGAUGGAGGUUUACAGCUUAGCUACAUAUAUAUUAUGUUUAUAGGGCCUUAAAAAGAUUCCUAUAAAAGAGCAGAGAGACGCUGUUAAGGUCCCUUGCUUGCUUGCUUUUGGUGUCUUCUACUUGCCAUGAACUUCUCCUCUGUGAUGCCCCUCUGCUAAGGCACCCUGCCUUGGAGCCAGCUGAUUAUGGACUGAAACCUCCACAAACUGUGAGCUAAAUCUUACCCCCUUUAAAAAAAACAGAUUCUUAUAACACUUUUCAUUAUUUGUUGUUGAAAUUAUAGAAUGAUCUAUCACUCCCAGAACCCAACUUCUGCUUCCUAAGUUUCUUCUUUUGGAUCAACUCUUAUUUAAAGCUAAAUAGUCACAAAAGGAAAGAAGGGAAAAGAAUAAAUAUGAGAAAAGAAAAAAUGGAAACAAAGUCUUUGUAAAUGGGGGGGGGGGUGAACAGGUUGAAGGGUGGGAAGGGGAAUGGGGAAAAAAUAAGAACCAAGAUAUAUUAUGUAAAGGUAUAAAUUCCCAACAAUGAAUGUCAGCAUAUUGUAUACCUAAAAUGUAC
rnacentral:lncRNA from 1 species